rnacentral:rRNA from 1 species
GACGAACGCUGGCGGCGUGCUUAACACAUGCAAGUCGAACGGAGUGGCGAACGGGUGAGUAUUACGUGAGUAACCUGCCCUCAACUGUGGGAUAAGCCUGGGAAACUGGGUCUAAUACUGCAUAGUUGGGGAUGGGCUCGCGGCCUAUCCGCUUGUUGGUGGGGUGAUGGCCUACCAAGUCGGUGACGGGUAGCCGGCCUGAGAGGGUGGUCGGGCAGAGUGGGACGGAGAGACGGCGCAGACUGGUACGGGAGGCGGAAGUGGGGGAUAUGGCACAAGGGGGGAAAGCCGGAUGCAGCGACGCCGCGUGAGGGAUGAAGGCUUUCGGGUUGGAAACCUCUUUCGGUACAGAACGGGUAUGUGCAGAAGAAGCGCCGGCUAACUACGUGCCAGCAGCCGCGGUAAUAC